rnacentral:rRNA from 1 species
GAUGAACGCUGGCGGCGUGCCUAAUACAUGCAAGUCGAGCGAACGGACGAUAAGCUUGCUUCUCUGAUGUUAGCGGCGGACGUGUGAGUAACACGUGUAUAACCUACCUAUAAGACUGGUAUAACUUCGGGAAACCGUAGCUAAUACCGUAUAAUAUUUUGAACCGCAUGGUUCAAAAGUGAAAGACGGUCUUGCUGUCACUUAUAGAUGGAUCCGCGCUGCAUUAGAUAGUUGUUAAGUUAACGGCUUACCAAGGCAACGAUGCAUAGCCGACCUGAGAGGGUGAUAGGCGACACUGGAACGGAGACAGGGUCAAGAGUCCUGAGGGAGGCAGCAGUCGGGAAUCUUACGCAAUGGGCGAAAGCAUGACGGAGCAACGCGGCGUGAGUGAUGAAGGUCUUCGGAUCGUAAAACUCUGUUAUUAGGGAAGAACAUAUGUGUAAGUAACUGUGCACAUAUUGACGGUAACUAAUCAGAAAGCAACGGCUAACUACGUG